CCUACGGGUGGCAGCAGUGGGGAAUAUUGGACAAUGGGGGCAACCCUGAUCCAGCCAUGCCGCGUGUGUGAAGAAGGCCCUCGGGUUGUAAAGCACUUUCAGUGAGGAAGAACGCCUGGUGGUUAAUACCCAUCAGGAAAGACAUCACUCACAGAAGAAGCACCGGCUAACUCCGUGCCAGCAGCCGCGGUAAUACGGAGGGUGCGAGCGUUAAUCGGAAUUACUGGGCGUAAAGCGCGCGUAGGUGGCUUGAUAAGCCGGUUGUGAAAGCCCCGGGCUCAACCUGGGAACGGCAUCCGGAACUGUCAAGCUAGAGUGCAGGAGAGGAAGGUAGAAUUCCCGGUGUAGCGGUGAAAUGCGUAGAGAUCGGGAGGAAUACCAGUGGCGAAGGCGGCCUUCUGGACUGACACUGACACUGAGGUGCGAAAGCGUGGGUAGCAAACAGGAUUAUAUACCCUAGUAGUC
rnacentral:rRNA from 1 species